AGGAGUGAUACGCUUCUCAGUGGCAUCAAAAUCGGUGGAAGCAUUCUUGGCAUCAUCACCAGCACCAAUGCGGUAGAUCUUGGAGUUCAAUUGAGUACGGUGCAUGUAACCAGCGUUACCAGCACGAGCAACAGUCCAUUGGACGUUGGCAGGGUGCCAAGCACCGAUACAAGCAACCUUACGAAGACCACGAUGAGUCUUACGGGGAAGACGCUUGGUACCCCAACGGGCAGUAGUACCCU